AAACACUUCGCAACAAUUAAGUAAUACACACGGAACACAUUGGCCGUGCUAUUUAGCCAAGAGAAGUAGCGAGUGAGUGUAAAAUGUAAAAAGUGUGGUGGCGGCCCUCGGUCACCCAGGCGAGACAGAGACGCCACACCUCGCCAGACAGCUUUGUCCUCGUCCCUUUUUCCUAGUCUACUCUUGUUCCUCCUCUCGUUCGCUCUCUCUGUCUCCUCUGUUGGCAUUCCACUCCCCCGUUUGCUUUCGACAAAUAUGUAUUUUUUAGAGUGAGCGUGGCUCAAUAUCAAGUGUUGUGACAAUCUGUCGAGUGUUCUGUACUAUAGAAGAUGACUUGCUAUUAAGAAUGUUCUUGCCUACUAUUAAUAUAUUUAUUGAGUGGAAUUAUACACAUUAUGGAACAUGUGUUGUUUAGUGAUACUGUAUAUAACAUGAACUGCACUUACCGAGAAAGGAAUUUUAGUUAUUAAAAAGCGUAAGAAAAUGCAUAUGUAAUAAAAGCCAAGUGAUUACAUAGAAUAUGGAAAACAAAAAAACAUCGAUAAUUGGCAUCAUAAUUUGUUUAAUGCUGAUUUAGAUGCAUUGAAUCUAAGUGAGAUGGCGAUAAAACCCCCUACAAAUAACGUGCCCUGAAAAUAAAGCACGAGGACCAAACGCUUAGAUAGGAUCGACAGAAUAUCUCAGAGCGUCCUAUUUUCAGCAACCCAGGUCCCCGCCUUUGAAGUCAUUUCUUAUUAUCACUGCGAAUAAGGAAGAUGUACCCCGUUAGCAGAGGGAAACUUGAGAUAUGUAGCCAACAAGGAAAGACCUGCUGGGAAGAAUUUUAUCUUGUAACAAUACUGGCCAUUGGCAAGAUUCAAGAUGGAGCAAAGUCAGAAUACAUCGGGUAUGAUGUGGUACAACUGCAAUACAGUUGAUGGCUUUAUUACCUCAAAUGCACCAGUUCAAGUUGAAAUAGGCACUGUUGAUAUUGCAAGACAAAUCAAUCAGCAAGUGCAGUUGCAGUAUGGGAGUCUUCAAGCAGUUCCUGCCCAGCCUCAACAUCAGAUCAUUGUGGCCCAUCAUCCACAGCACCAUCCUC
rnacentral:misc_RNA from 1 species